rnacentral:rRNA from 1 species
CAAAGGAAUUGACGGGGCCCGCACAAGCGGUGGAGCAUGUGGUUUAAUUCGAUGAUACGCGAGGAACCUUACCUGGGCUCAAAUGUAUGUUGACGUAUUCUGAAAGGGAUACUUCUUCGGACAAUAUACAAGGUGCUGCAUGGUUGUCGUCAGCUCGUGCCGUGAGGUGUCGGGUUAAGUCCCAUAACGAGCGCAACCCCUAUCAUUAGUUGCCAUCAGGUCAAGCUGGGGACUCUAAUGAAACUGCCUACGCAAGUAGUGAGGAAGGUGGGGAUGACGUCAAAUCAGCACGGCCCUUACGUCCAGGGCUACACACGUGCUACAAUGGCCGGUACAAAGGGCAGCUACCUGGUGACAGGAUGCUAAUCUCAAAAGCCGGUCUCAGUUCGGAUCGGAGUCUGCAACCCGACUCCGUGAAGCUGGAAUCGCUAGUAGUCGCGCAUCAGCCAUGGCGCGGUGAAUACGUUCCCGGGCCUU